GAGAGUUUGAUUCUGGCUCAGGACGAACGCUGGCGGCGUGCCUAAUACAUGCAAGUCGAACGCUUCUUUCUUAUCGAACUUCGGUUCACCAAGAAAGAAGAGUGGCGGACGGGUGAGUAACACGUGGGUAACCUGCCCUUUAGCGGGGGAUAACACUUGGAAACAGGUGCUAAUACCGCAUAAUCUUUUUUCUCGCAUGAGUAAAAAGUGAAAGACGCUUUUGCGUCACUAAAGGAUGGACCCGCGCUGCAUUAGCUAGUUGGUGAGGUAACGGCUCACCAAGGCCACGAUGCAUAGCCGACCUGAGAGGGUGAUCGGCCACACUGGGACUGAGACACGGCCCAGACUCCUACGGGAGGCAGCAGUAGGGAAUCUUCGGCAAUGGACGAAAGUCUGACCGAGCAACGCCGCGUGAGUGAAGAAGGUUUUCGGAUCGUAAAACUCUGUUGUUAGAGAAGAAUAAGGAUGAGAGUAGAAUGUUCAUCCCUGGACGGUAUCUAACCAGAAAGCCACGGCUAAUA
rnacentral:rRNA from 1 species